rnacentral:lncRNA from 1 species
UCUCUCUCUCUCUCUCUCUCAGAAGCUGGAGAAGCUCCAAAAACCCUCCAAAACCGUUAGCUCGGCGUUUCUGUGUUGAAGCUCCCUCCACAAAACUUAUAUCCACCUUCAUCAAAUCUCCCUUAUACGUACAAGUGAUUCGUGUACUAUUUUUCCAUCCUUUUUCCAUUAACUGCAACCAAGGAAAAUGUAAAACGUCAAGGGAAGACUCGUAUAGCGUUGUCAUAGAUUGGCGUUCAACGAACAAAACAGAUGGAAAACCUCGAUUAUACUUACAGGUAAACUUGUCACUUGUAAAGGUCCAAAACAAUCCCAACAACAAUCGCCUAUUAGCUCAGGUAAGAAUGGUUUAACAAAGUUCAUACAAUCACAAGGGUCUAAUCUCAGUUGUCUAUCACAGGGGGGUGGUCGCCGGAAACUCCUUGACACGAGAGUUUCCUUGGAGGAAGACGAAGGAAAAAGCUUCUAAUCACCAUACACAAAAGCACACAGAAUCUAUGGUACAGAUCACGGCAAGUUCAGGAAUUUUUGGGCAGCAUCCAAACUCAGUCCUUCACAGACCUGAAGCAAAUAGAAUCGAGGAAUUUCAGCAAUGUAGACAGAAACUAAAUUCAUAUUUACGACUAUUGUUCCUUGAAAAACAUAUUGUACAUACAAGUCUCUUAUGAAUCCGUUGAAACGCCUUGCAAAAUCUCUCCGCUUCUGCAGCACCCACCUAAACAAUUGAGGAUAAGCAGUUAGUUUUCCUUUCAUAUUUCUCCAUUGUCCUUCGAGCCAAAAUUUGUAUUGGGACAACCGAAACUAUUCGACUUUAUUUUUUGUUUCAUUUAUUUCAUCCUUUGUAGUUGAGAAAGAGUCUCCUCAAUUUCAGUUAAUUCCAUUUAUAAAUAAGACAUCACUGAACAACACAAAAUGUACAAUCAACAGAUGAACAGCUGACAACUGA